AACGAACGCUGGCGGCCGGAUUAACACAUGCAAGUCGAACGCCCCGCAAGGGGAGUGGCAGACGGGUGAGUAACGCGUGGGAACAUACCCUUUCCUGCGGAAUAGCUCUGGGAAACUGGAAUUAAUACCGCAUACGCCCUACGGGGGAAGGAUUUAUCGGGGAAGGAUUGGCCCGCGUUGGAUUAGCUAGUUGGUGGGGUAAAGGCCUACCAAGGCGACGAUCCAUAGCUGGUCUGAGAGGAUGAUCAGCCACAUUGGGACUGAGACACGGCCCAGACUGCUACGGGAGGCAGGAUUGGGGAAUAUUGGACAAUGGGCGCAAGCCUGAUCCAGCCAUGCCGCGUGAGUGAUGAAGGCCUUAGGGUUGUAAAGCUCUUUCACCGAUGAAGAUAAUGACGGUAGUCGGAGAAGAAGCCCCGGCUAACUUCGUGCCAGCAGCCGCGGUAACAC
rnacentral:rRNA from 1 species